CAUGGUAACUAUGUAAAAGGUGGCUAUGCUACCGCUUUUGGAUGGGCCCGCGACGCAUUAGCUAGUUGGUGGGGUAAAGGCUUACCAAGGCAAUGAUGCGUAGCCGAACUGAGAGGUUGAUCGGCCACAUUGGGACUGAGACACGGCCCAAACUCCUACGGGAGGCGGCAGUAGGGAAUCUUCCACAAUGGGCGAAAGCCUGAUGGAGCAACGCCGCGUGGGUGAAUAAGGUCUUCGGAUCGUAAAACCCUGUUGUUAGAGAAGAAAGUGCGUGAGAGUAACUGUUCACGUUUCGACGGUAUCUAA
rnacentral:rRNA from 1 species